rnacentral:lncRNA from 1 species
CUGGGGGCCUCGGGGGUCUCAGGCCUCACGGCACUCAUUCUCCUCCUGGUGGAGGCCACCAGCGUGCUCCUGCCCACAGACAUCAAGUUUGGGAUCGUGUUUGAUGCGGGCUCCUCCCACACGUCCCUCUUCCUGUAUCAGUGGCUGGCGAACAAGGAGAAUGGCACGGGUGUGGUCAGCCAGGCCCUGGCCUGCCAGGUGGAAGGGCCUGGAAUCUCCUCCUACACUUCUAAUGCUGCACAGGCUGGUGAGAGCCUGCAGGGCUGCUUGGAGGAGGCGCUGGUGCUGAUCCCAGAGGCCCAGCAUCGGAAAACACCCACGUUCCUGGGGGCCACGGCUGGCAUGAGGUUGCUCAGCAGUCACCCAGGUCCUGGGCCGGUCUCCCGUGGACUUUUGGGGUGCCGAGCUCCUGGCCGGGCAGGCCGAAGGUGCCUUUGGUUGGAUCACUGUCAACUACGGCUUGGGGACGCUGGUCAAGUACUCCUUCACUGGAGAAUGGAUCCAGCCUCCGGAGGAGAUGCUGGUGGGUGCCCUGGACAUGGGAGGGGCCUCCACCCAGAUCACGUUCGUGCCUGGGGGCCCCAUCUUGGACAAGAGCACCCAGGCCGAUUUUCGCCUCUACGGCUCCGACUACAGCGUCUACACUCACAGCUACCUGUGCUUUGGAC